CCGGUGUGGGCCCACAGCUGAACACUUGUCUAGUUCUUACAAAUCAUUUCCCUAAAAGAGUGAAAACUACCAGACAGCUGCCGCAGUUCAGCUUACAGGGAAAACACAGAAUGUCAUUUUCAAGCCUCCAGCUAGCAAACCAGGAAGCCCUUGUAUGUAACUGCUCUCUUUUCUAAGAUGCUUAAGUCUCCUGUGAACCUGUGUGCCGGAUUGGAUAUCCAAGGAUCUCCUCUUACAGAACUAGUCUGCAGUCACUCAGCAGCUCUUCCCCGUGGGUAAUUAUAUAAUUUCAGUGGAAAUAUAUCAAAAGGGGUUAGAAAAAGAGCUGAGAAAGACCUCCCAUGGGGCAUGUGGGCUUCACCCAAGUGCAAGCUUCUUCCUUCUCCCAAGGCAAGGCCAGCAUGAGAGAGGUGAGAGGAACUCAUUAGAUGCACUCCGAGAUCCUUUCAUUCCAAUGUCUGCAGUCUCUGGUGCAGAGAG